GUGGCACAUUCGUAGCCUCAGCCUCCUAGGCUCAAGGGAUACUCCUGCAUCAGCCUCUUGAGACUACAGGCAGAAUCAGUGUUACAUUUGUGGUCAGAUGAGCUAACGACAUCCUUCCUGACUUCUUUCUCAGAAUUAGGAAACCCUGAUUAGCAUUUAGAACCUCAUUUUCACAGACUUCACUCAUUAAAACAUCAAGACCUAGGUAACGCACCACUGAAAUUUCAUAAUAUGGAGGAUAUGUUUAAAUAUGUUUAAAAUAUGUAUUUUUAACUGUGGUUAAAAUAUGUUUUUAAAAUGUUUAUGAGUCAAAAUAAUUAAAAUUGCCAU
rnacentral:lncRNA from 1 species